CCAAUUUUAGCGAACCUGACCCUUUGGGUCAUGAUCUCGCGAAAACUGUAUUUAAAACCCCACUCUUAUAUAAAAUAAAUGAAUCUUAUAAUAAUAAAUAAAGA
rnacentral:misc_RNA from 1 species